rnacentral:lncRNA from 1 species
GAAAAAGGGACUUUUUUUUGUUGCUGAGUUUAUUUAUAUAAAUCAUGUAAUGUAGUCUUCGUUUUUCAUCUGCUAGCCAAGUUACAUAGCCUGUAAUGUUAGCUGAUAAUUGUUGUAUAAUUGUUGCUAUGAUUUAGCUAACGCUAGCUAGUUAAAGUUACUGUAACGUAUAGUAUGUCCUCAUUUAAACCCAUGAUACAGUCUCUCGCCAUCUCCUUCCAGCCUCCUCUCUUUAAGACCUGUCUUAUCAUGGGCCUGUCCAGUUAAGUUGUAGAGAGUGUGGGUGCUGUGAGAAACUCAGCCUCCACAAACAGCCUGUUCUGUCCUCAGUAUUUCAGACCAAAGCAAGACAAUGUUUAAAGCUGUGGAUCUACAAACAGGUAUCACACUACCCGGCAAUACAUGGAUGUGUGCACGGCACUCAUUCAAAAGUACUCCUCGUUGAGAGACCAGAUGGGGAAGGGAUAUGUAAGAAUUGUUACAUUUUCCGACUUACAUUAAUUCUCACACUAGUCACCUUUUUACACCAUUGUGCCUCCCCAGAUCAUGAUGUGCUGGCUUGGGUAUAUUCUUCUCACAUUGUUAAACCAUCACAUUUCCAACAGCAUAACAAGACCAUCUCUAGUUAUGUACGGUCCUAAAAUUCCGCCAUUACAUUUAUCAUGUACCCUUUACAGCAUGCAGCCGUUCUAAUUCUAUUGAUUCUAAUCCAGCCUUUUUAUUUCACAACCUCCAAUUGAAGUUCUCAAAGUCACUGCAGCCAUUUUCCCCCUCCCCUACCUCAAAGAUGAUCCAAGUGGGCUGAAUGUCACACGACAGUACAAAGUUAGUCGUUAUACAGUGUAAGGUGUGCUCAGUUGUUAACUUACGGUUUGAAAUAUGACUUGAGUAACCUUUAAUAUAUAUUUUUAAUUCCAUCACCUACCAUACCAUAAGGAUAGAGGGGAAUCCCUUUGCGAAUGAGAACCACGUCCAACUCUUCCUGGAUGGACAGGAGCUAAUAACUGAAGAGCCGGAGGACAUCUCCAUGGGGAUGGCAAUGGAGAUCCGUUUCCUUUUUAAAUUACAGCUAAUGUCAGGGUUAAUUCAACAAGAGAAAAGCUGCUAAAUAGACAGUUGAAAAUAAAAAGAAGAGAGAUGUAAUGUUUGAGAAAGAUUUGGUGAAGUGGUAACAGAGCACUGCAAGAAAUGCUUCAUUCUGCAGGAGUUAUUAUUAAGGCUAUGUGAAAGGAUAUAGACCGACAGUCAGUGUCCAGAUUUCAGUUAUCAUUUAACCUAUCUGAACAGUAGGUUACAGUUCCCAUGACGUGCCAUAGGACUAUUUGAAGUCCCAGUCAGUUGACUGUUGAAUUUCUAUAGCACAGGAGCUCUUCGGAGCCCUCUACAUUGUUAAAAAAUGUGUAUGGCGAAAUAGUAUGGAGCUCAAUUUGGCCUCUGCAUGCCUUCAGAGGCUCCACAAUUGCAUCAAACCCUCCAUAUGAAGCCUCCGACCACAUUUACG